rnacentral:rRNA from 1 species
UGGCGGACGGGUGAGUAACGCGUGGGUAACCUGCCUUACACAGGGGGAUAACACUUAGAAAUAGGUGCUAAUACCGCAUGAGCGCACAGGACCGCAUGGUCGAGUGUGAAAAACUGAGGUGGUGUAAGAUGGACCCGCGUCUGAUUAGCUAGUUGGUGAGGUAACGGCCCACCAAGGCGACGAUCAGUAGCCGGCCUGAGAGGGUGGACGGCCACAUUGGGACUGAGACACGGCCCAAACUCCUACGGAAGGCAGCAG